rnacentral:lncRNA from 1 species
UCAAACCUCUUCUUGACUGCUUUCGCAGAGUUUUGAAACCGAUUUCAAGUUUGUACUUAUUUUAUCACGUACGAUAUAACGAGUGGCGAAAUUUAUCAAGCUAAUUCUUCAUCCGGAACGCUAAAAUGGACAAUUCAGGCCUUACAAUCGUAAGCAAUAUACUCAAAGGUAACGAGAUUCCUUGUACCGAUUUCGACUACGGUAGUAUCGGAGAAAUGAUUCUAGACAAACUGAAAAGCGAUCCAAAUUUCGUGGGACAAAUUGAUGGUGCCACUGGCGAAGAAUAUACCUUCGAAAAAAUGCAAGACAGAAGU